rnacentral:lncRNA from 1 species
CUUUCCAGCCCCUCCUCCCAGCAGAGGAUCCCAGUGCCCUCCUGGCCUGAAGGCCCUGCAGGCCUGGCCUUCCCAACUUCCUCUCUGCCCUUGUCCCCCGUCGUCCCUCUAGUUGGCCUGGCCCUCCCAACUUCCUCUCUGCCCUUGUCCCCCGUCGUCCCCCUAGUUGGCCUGGCCCUCCCAACCUCCUCUCUGCCCUUGUCCCCCGUCGUCCCCCUAGCUGGAGGGUGCCCCAGCCUGGCUGACCUCAGUUCUUGUCCCCAGCACACACAACUCUUCCCAGCCUCAAGGCCUUCACCUGGCUGUGCCGCUGCCUGCAAUGUUCCUCCCCAGUCUUGUCAGGGCUGGCUCCUGGGGAGAAGAUCUCUGCUCAGAUGUCACUUCCCCGGAAGGGCCUUCCACGGCCACCCACGUCGUGUCUCCCCACGCCUGCCCCCACACUCGCUAGCCCGCCGUCCCCUCUUCCUGCUUCCGUCCUCCACAGCAGUCAUCACCAUCUGAUAUUCCUGUGUAUGCAUCGGUUUGCCUUUCUGGCUCCUGGUUUUGCUCUGCCUCCCCGCUGGAAGCUACUUGGAAGGCUGAGACAGGAGAAUUUCUUGAAUCCAGAAGGCAGAGGUUGCAGUGAGCCAAGAUCAUGCCAAUGCGCUCCAGCCUGGGCGACAGAGUGAAACUCCAAGUGAAUAAAUGAAUUGUGAGUGCAUGACGUGAGGCCCGGAGUGUACAGCCAAUGGUUGUCACACACAGUAUCCCCCCAAGAGAAACCUGCAGCCCAGCAGCUCGGCUGCAGUACAGAGACCCCCAACCUGGCAGAGGCCUUGACACAAAACAGUUUUGCACCAAAUGAUGCAUACGUGAAGGCACAAUGAAGUGAACAGCAAGCGUUCAAGGAAAAGGCCUUGCA